rnacentral:rRNA from 11 species
GACUCUCGGCAACGGAUAUCUCGGCUCACGCAUCGAUGAAGAACGUAGCAAAAUGCGAUACUUGGUGUGAAUUGCAGAAUCCCGUGAACCAUCGAGUUUUUGAACGCAAUUUGCGCCCGAAGCCAUUCGGUUGAGGGCACGUCUGCCUGGGCGUCA